ensembl:snoRNA
AUCCUUUCGUAGUUCAUGAGCAUGAUGAUUGUGUUCACACGCAUAUGUGAAACGUACCACCACAAAUCUUGUUACAACGUUGGUACAUUACCCAUCUGGCA